rnacentral:lncRNA from 1 species
CCAAGGAAAGAUGAAAUAUCGACAUAAAAAUUGCUGGGGUCGUCAUACUCACGCAAGCCAAGAGCACUCUUGCAUCCAUGAUAGUAGCUUAAAUCUUGCACGCUCUCACAGCCUGCAAAGCCUCAGCCUGCAAAGCCGGAGGAGACUUUUUUGUGGGGUGAUAUUUGUUGUUGCCAAUGUGGAUGACCGAACAUCUAUGCCAUCGUCCUCAAUUUACUGGGUUAUGGGUCAACAUAGAUAAACCUGCAUAGAGGAAUUUUAUACGAGGAUUAACGGGGUCAGCUUGAUGGAAG